ACGGCCGCAUCAUGUUGAAAAUCUGGUUCUCGUACGAUUAGCGAAGUUAAGCAACGUCGAGCCUGGUUAGUACCAUCGAUGGGUGACAGCUUGGGAAUAGCAGGUGCUGUAAG